AUGCCCGUGCCGACAAUGCAAAGAAAUCAGCUGCUAGUAAAAGAAAAUUACAUGCAAGUUAUUGCGGGUAAACGUCGUUGUCUUCCACCUACACUCGCCGGUGGCGCGUCGUGGGCGAAUCUUGAUGCUGCAUCUCAGAUCCAGACCAUCAUCCAUCUUCAGUACCUAUGUCUUGGGACAACCAGAUGCAUUUACCACUUGCUAUUUCUACAUUUUACCAUUUGAGUAUUCUAGAUCUAGGAUUGUGGAAAGGUUGUCGUGAUUUUCCCAAAGACAUGAGCAACCUUGCAAAAUUGUGUCAUUUUUAUACCCCACGUAUUGAGCUUCACUCUGAGAUUUCUAAUGUGGGAAAACUUAAACUCUUAGAAGAGUUAAAGGUAUUUAGAGUCAAUAAAGAAAGUGAAGGAUUUGAAACCAAGCAACUAGAGCAUUUGACCGAGUUGAGGAAGCUUGGCAUCUAUAACCUUGAGAAAAUACACACAAAAGAAGAAGCAUCCGAAGCAAAACUGAUAGAGAAAAAGUACUUGGAGAGGUUAACAUUGGAUUGGGAUAGUAAGCGGGCGAACGUUGAUCCUGGUGUGGAAGCAUUAGUUCUUGAGAGCCUUCAACCACAUAGAUAUCUUCAAAAGUUGUCCAUUAGAGGGCACAUGGGCUCUUUUUGUCCAAAAUGGUUGGGUGAUGAGCUCGAUGUCAAAGCUCUACAAUCUCGUUGUCUCUCUGGUGUUUCUUGGAAAGAUUUCCCUCCUCUCGGGAAGAUGUUUGAUCUUCGUGAAGUAACAUUGGAGUGCAUUGCCACAAUGAAGGAGUUUGUUAUAGAACAAAGCUUUUGCAGGUUAACAAAGCUUACACUCAGUGGCUUGAAUUCUUUUGAAAAAUGGGUGCCAUCACAGGACGCCAAUCAUCUGUUCCCUGCUCUGCAAGUAUUGCUUAUCAGAGAUUGCCCCAAACUUUCAGUGUUGCCAUUCUCAAACCAGGUUGUUUGCCCACCAGAUCAAGAUAGGAACAUGGAUUGGUUUCCCAAACUGCAAAAGCUUGGGAUAGUAAACUGUCCAAAUUUUUUUUUAGUAGCUCGUAUCCCCUGGACUGAAACCCUGAAUCAAGUGAACAUGAGAGAUGUAAAGCUAUUGGAGAAGUUUCAGUACUCAAAAUCAUCUCAUGGAAUAAGAUUGAGUAUUAGUGGAAAAGAUGAUCUGCAUAGCAUAGAUCAAGUGUUAGCAUCUGAUAUCCUGACAGAGGUUACGGAUUUGACACUCGAGAAGGGCCCAUGUCUGGAGUUGAGGCACCUUGUGAUGCUAACCUCACUGAACAUUGUGACAUUCAGGAAUUACCGAUCUCAUGUGUUUGCACCAAGAUCAAGUUCUCUGGUUGAGACAUCAGGAGGUCAUGGUGACGUCAAAAGGAAUCUUCCUGCUCUUGAGAAUCUUCGGGUCAUGAGUUGUGGUGCUAGUGGAAAGGAAUUGACAGAGCUGCUCACUCACCUCCCAAGGCUCUCCGACUUGUCAAUCUGGGAUUGUGAAAAGAUAACACAGCUGGCAGUGGGGGUGGAUCUGCAACAAACAACGUCAGCAGCAGUGUCGGGAAGAGAAGAUGGUGGGUUGCUGCUCUUGCCUGGCCAUCUCUCUGACUCACUACGGGACUUGAUGAUCCGUAACAACCCAGAGCUAGUCUUGGUGGACCCGCCAAGUCUUCUUCCUGGCGGAGGAGGAGGGCUCCAGGCCCUGCGUUUCCUCCAGGAGAUUGCAAUUUGGGGCUGCCCCAAGUUCCUGUCGGCCUGCUUGGUUUCCUCUCCUUCCCGUUCCCUUUUCCCGUCCUCCCUGCAAUCCCUCGAGCUCCAGGGGGUGAAAGGCAUGGGGACGCUGGAGCUCCUCUCAAACCUCACCUCUCUCACCAGUUUGGAUUUGACGAAUUGCGGAGAGGAUCUAAGAUGCGAGGGCCUGGGGCCUCUCCUUGGUCAGCUCCGCGAAUUAACCGUCUUUUCCAGCCCCAAAUUCUUUGCGGGUUGGAAUCCUAAUGCCAGGCGGGUGCUGCAGCAUGAAGGAGGAGGAGAAGAGCAGCGGCGGCAAAUUGUUUCCCCUCUCCCGACUUCAUCCAAACUGCAGCUGCUCUAUACGGAUGAGGCCGAGGGACUCCUUGCUGCGCCCAUCUGCAGCCUCCUCUCUUCCUCCCUCGCCGAGCUGCGACUUUGGGGGACCAAAGACGCCCAUCUCGAGAGCUUCAGCAAUGACGGCCUUCACCUCCUCACCUCCCUCCAGGAACUUGAAUUUAACUGUUUCGACGAGCUUCAGCACCUCCCUGCAGGGCUGCACAAGCUCCCCAACCUCAAGAGAUUAGAAGUCGACCGCUGUCCAGCCCUCCGGUCCCUGCCUGACGAGGGCCUCCCCAAAUCGCUGAAACACCUAGAUGUCAGAAGGUGUGGCAACGAGGAGCUAAUACAGCAGUGCAGGGGGUUAGUGGGAACCAUACCAGAAAUCGUUCUGGAAGAUUAGGACUGACACAAGGCCUCUGCCUUGGGGAUCCCUCGUAUAUUCUUCUAUUCUAGUCCUGUCGAGCUCAACUCUCCACACAUGCAGAAUUGCCGUAUGGAUGAGGGUCUUGGGCAAUGUUUUAUUCUGUACAUAACUCUGGUGUUAUGUUUAUUCUCAAAGGAUUCUGCAUACUUUUGAUUUAAAUUUGGGUGGUCAUCAACCAUCAAGACUCGGUGAUGUACCUGUCUAGUUAAGGUGUGCGGAUCAAAAUAUCACCAUGGCAUAAAUCAAAAGUGCAGGUCACUAAUUAAGAGUUAACAAGUCAGAACUUUGUAUUCAGCAACUAAUAUUAAGGUUUGCAAUUUUUUUCAUCCACUGCCAUAUUGCUAUAGAAUAUAGAUACCAGGUGCUUUCGUAUUGACCAUUUUUCCUUGCGUGCUGUACUACAGGGUUUCUUUUGUUUGCUCUCAUAGGAUUCUACUCCCUCCGAUC